rnacentral:rRNA from 1 species
UACGUAGGGUGCGAGCGUUGUCCGGAAUUAUUGGGCGUAAAGAGCUCGUAGGCGGUUUGUCACGUCGGAUGUGAAAUCCCGGGGCUUAACCUCGGGUCUGCAUUCGAUACGGGCUGACUAGAGUUCGGUAGGGGAGACUGGAAUUCCUGGUGUAGCGGUGAAAUGCGCAGAUAUCAGGAGGAACACCGGUGGCGAAGGCGGGUCUCUGGGCCGAUACUGACGCUGAGGAGCGAAAGCGUGGGGAGCGAACAGG